rnacentral:rRNA from 1 species
UACGGAGGGAGCUAGCGUUGUUCGGAAUUACUGGGCGUAAAGCGCACGUAGGCGGCUUUGUAAGUUAGCGGUGAGAGCCCGGGGCUCAACCCCGGAAUUGCCUUUAAGACUGCAUCGCUUGAAUCCGGGAGAGGUGAGUGGAAUUCCGAGUGUAGAGGUGAAAUUCGUAGAUAUUCGGAAGAACACCAGUGGCGAAGGCGGCUCACUGGACUGGUAUUGACGCUGAGGUGCGAAAGCGUGGGGAGCAAACAGG